AUCACAGCAAGAUGGCAGCUGUCUGCAAGCCAGAAAGGAAGUUCUUACCAGAACCAGAACAUGCUAGCAUCCUGAUCUGGACUUCUGGACUCCAGAACUAACACAGUAUGGCAGCUGGUGCUGCUGCAGUUUUCUGUGACCCUCAGAGGGAGAUGAAGACCAUCCAGGCGACAUGGACCCUUGCUUACAUCACUGAGCUGCUGACCAACACCAGCAUUAGCUAACCUCUGGUUUUUAGAUUAUACAGGAAAAAUAAACUCCUCCUUGUUUAAAUGAC